rnacentral:tRNA from 1 species
UCCCUGGUGGCUCAGACGGUAAAGCGUCUGCCUGCCUGCAAGGCAGGAGACCCAGGUUCAAUCCCUGGGUUGGGAA